GAUGAACGCUAGCUACAGGCUUAACACAUGCAAGUCGAGGGACCGGCGCACGGGUGAGUAACACGUAUCCAACCUGCCCUUUACGCGGGGAUAGCCUUUCGAAAGAAAGAUUAAUACCCGAUAUAAAGGAUGGGGAUGCGUUCCAUUAGGUUGUUGGUAAGGUAACGGCUCACCAAGCCUUCGAUGGAUAGGGGUGCUGAGAGGAAGGUCCCCCACAUUGGAAAUGAGACCCAGACCAAACUCCUACGGGAGACUGGAGAAAGGAAUAUUGGGCAAUGGGCGCUAGCCUGAACCAGCCAAGUAGAGUGAAGGAUGAAGGCUUAUGAGUCGUAAACUUCUAUUAUAUAAGAAUAUGUAUUAUAUGAAUAAGGAUCGGCUAACUCCGUGCCAGCAGCCGCGGUAAUAC
rnacentral:rRNA from 1 species